rnacentral:rRNA from 1 species
CCUACGGGGGGCAGCAGUGAGGAAUAUUGGUCAAUGGACGAAAGUCUGAACCAGCCAAGUAGCGUGAAGGAUGACUGCCCUCUGGGUUGUAACCUUCUUUUAUAUGGGAAUAAAAUGUUCCACGUGUGGGAUUUUGUAUGUACCAUAUGAAUAAGGAUCGGCUAACUCAGUGCCAGCAGCCGCGGUAAUACGGAGGAUCCGAGCGUUAUCCGGAUUUAUUGGGUUUAAGGGGAGCGUAGGUGGAUUGUUAAGUCAGUUGUGAAAGUUUGCGGCUCAACCGUAAAAUUGCAGUUGAAACUGGCAGUCUGGAGUACAGUAGAGGUGGGUGGAAUUCGUGGUGUAGCGGUGAAAUGCUUAGAUAUCACGAAGAACUCCGAUUGCGAAGGCAGCUCACUGGACUGCAACUGACACUGAGGAUCGAAAGUGUGGGUAGCAAACAGGAUUAGAUACCCUAGUAGUC